AGGUGCGAUCAUACCAGCACUAAUGCACCGGAUCCGGCGAGAGUAGUACUAGGAUGCGUGCUUGGGCGAGAGUAGUACUAGGAUGGGUGACCUCCUGGGAAGUCCUCGUGUUGCACCUC
rnacentral:rRNA from 2 species